GUCUACAAUCAUAUCACACCAAAUGUGCUUAAUCUUGUUGGACCUUAAAAACUAAGCAGGUGUAGGCCUGGUUGUACCUAAGUGGGGAAAUUAUGUAUCAGUGAACA
rnacentral:rRNA from 1 species